rnacentral:tRNA from 2 species
GGGGAAGUGGCGCAGCCCGGUAGCGCAUCCCGCUUGGAGCGGGAGGGUCUCAAGUUCGAAUCUUGUCUUCCCGA